GUCUGUGGUCAUGCCACCAUAAACACUCUCAAUCUCCUCCAGUCUUGGAAGCUAAACAGGACUAGACUGGUACUUAGUACCUGGAUGGGAGAAAGCCCUGUCUUAUGAAAAUAAAAAGCAUGCACAAUCA
rnacentral:rRNA from 1 species